rnacentral:rRNA from 1 species
GGCUUAACACAUGCAGUCGAGGGGUAACAGGAGUAGCUUGCUACUUGCUGACGACCGGCGCACGGGUGCGUAACGCGUAUACAAUCUACCUUAUACUGGGGAAUAGCCUUUGGAAACGAAGAUUAAUGCCCCAUAGUAUUAUUGAAUGGCAUCGUUUAAUAAUUAAAACUCCGGUGGUAUAAGAUGAGUAUGCGUUCUAUUAGUUAGUUGGUAAGGUAACGGCUUACCAAGACAUCGAUAGAUAGGGGUCCUGAGAGGGAGAUCCCCCACACUGGUACUGAGACACGGACCAGACUCCUACGGGAGGCAGCAGUGAGGAAUAUUGGACAAUGGGCGCAAGCCUGAUCCAGCCAUGCCGCGUGCAGGAAGACUGCCCUAUGGGUUGUAAACUGCUUUUAUAUGGGAAGAAUAAGGGGUACGUGUACUCUGAUGACGGUACCAUAAGAAUAAGCACCGGCUAACUCCGUGCCAGCAGCCGCGGUAAUACGGAGGGUGCAAGCGUUAUCCGGAAUCAUUGGGUUUAAAGGGUCCGUAGGCGGGCAUAUAAGUCAGUGGUGAAAUGCUGUGGCUCAACCAUAGCACUGCCAUUGAUACUGUAUGUCUUGAAUUAUUGUGAAGUGGUUAGAAUAUGUAGUGUAGCGGUGAAAUGCUUAGAUAUUACAUAGAAUACCGAUUGCGAAGGCAGAUCACUAACAAUAUAUUGACGCUGAUGGACGAAAGCGUAGGUAGCGAACAGGAUUAGAUACCCUGGUAGUCUACGCCGUAAACGAUGGAUACUAGUUGUUUGGCUUUCGGGCUGAGUGACUAAGCGAAAGUGAUAAGUAUCCCACCUGGGGAGUA